rnacentral:rRNA from 1 species
AUACGUAGGGAGCGAGCGUUGUCCGGAAUUACUGGGCGUAGAGGGAGCGUAGGCGGGCGUGGAAGUCAGAUGUGAAAUACAUGGGCUCAACCCAUGGGCUGCAUUUGAAACUGCAUUUCUUGAGUGAAGUAGAGGUAAGCGGAAUUCCUGGCGUAGCGGUGAAAUGCGUAGAUAUCAGGAGGAACCCCGGUGGCGAAGGCGGCUUACUGGGCUUUUACUGACGCUGAGGCUCGAAAGCGUGGGGAGCAAACAGGAUUAGAUACCCUGGUAGUCCACGCUGUAAACGAUGAUUACUAGGUGUGGGGGGACUGACCCCUUCCGUGCCGCAGUUAACACAAUAAGUAAUCCACCUGGGGAGUACGGCCGCAAGGUUGAAACUCAAAUGAAUUGACGGGG